CGCAGGUUAAAUACGAUAACCCCCGCAGGAAAAUUAGCGCUAACCUAAGCUAGUAGCAACCACAGCUAUGAAGGCAACGAUGACUUGAGUCCACAAACCAACUCCCUCAAGUCUUCAGAAAAGCUUGUCCGGGUUUACAGUAUGUUGCCAUGUACAUACAAAACCUCGAACGAAUAACGACCAAUUAAAACGACCGCGUCGUUUAUUACCCAUAACUGAAAAUAACAACGAUUUAUAGGUGUUUCUUUAAAUGUUGUGAACUGGGCCUUAGUUCGGCGUGAUUAAAUCCGACCAGAAACGGAGCUGAACGUUAACUUUAUGAUAUUUUGUCUCUAUUCCUGCUUGCCCAUUCCUAUAAAAACCGAGUCAAAAUGCGCGAGGGAGCAGCGUUAACCACAUAUCACAUAUUACGGCACUAAUACAACACUUGGCAGACACAUAUAAGAUUAUACGUGAGCAGCCAGGCAGCGCUAAAGUGCCGAAAAAUUGAAUGUAGUUCUGAAAGUAGCAUUUCUUGUGCCGUAGUACACAAACAGCACUGGUGUCUGUAAAAGCCUGAACAUUGAUAUGCACAUUGAGCUUGUGGAGCGCAAUGUACAGGACUUCCACCGAGCUGUCACUGUAAAGCGCCCAGUCUGUCAGUCGACUGUCAUUGCCCACACCGCUGUCAUGAAUUCACCAAAAUGACACAUACCUCACAUGCAAGACGAAGCGCGGAGCCCAGUGUUAAUCGGAGUCCCGGUGCGCGAACAUUCCCUCCUCAAACUGGAACCGCCGUUGGUCUCCGACGGCUGAAGUGAACGGGACAGCGGCACGGUUUAACCUGAAAUGACCCGCGCCAGUGCAAAUCGGCCGAGGGCGCUGCGCGCGCGCCCGUCUGCGGGCUGUGUCACUCGGUGGCGUGGACUAACUGAUUGCGUGUGCCGCGGGGAGAGUCCCUGCCCUAGACGGAGAAAACUUCAACAUGGAGCCGAAAACAAACGCUGGAAAACGGCACGUCCGAGACUAGAGGAUUCAAAUGACGGUAGAGCGAGGGAAGACAAAAGUGGAAUUUGGUUUCUUCGAUCUUCCGAAUGACUAAACACAACUUAUCCAGGGAACCGGCUCACAAAUAUUUAAUUAAAAAUAAUAAAUAAAGGCUGCAGUAUCUGAUAUUUGACA
rnacentral:lncRNA from 1 species